rnacentral:rRNA from 1 species
GCGGCAAGAGCUCAAAUUUGAAAUCUGGCCUCCCCCGGGGGUCCGAGUUGUAAUUUGCAGAGGAUGCUUCGGGCGCGGCCCCCGUCUAAGUUCCUUGGAACAGGACGUCAGAGAGGGUGAGAAUCCCGUCUUGGGCGGGCGGCCCGCGCCCGUGUGAAGCUCCUUCGACGAGUCGAGUUGUUUGGGAAUGCAGCUCUAAGCGGGUGGUAAAUUUCAUCUAAAGCUAAAUACCGGCCGGAGACCGAUAGCGCACAAGUAGAGUGAUCGAAAGGUUAAAAGCACCUUGAAAAGGGAGUUAAACAGCACGUGAAAUUGUUGAAAGGGAAGCGUUUGCGGCCAGACUCGGGGGGCGGGGUUCAGCGGGCGCUCGUCGCCCGUGCACUGCCCGCUCCCCGGGCCAGCAUCAGCUUCGACGGCCGGUCAAAGGCCCCCGGAAUGUGUCGUCUCUAGGGACGUCUUAUAGCCGGGGGUGCAAUGCGGCCCGUCGAGACUGAGGAACGCGCUCCGGCUCGGAUGCUGGCGUAAUGGCCGUAAGCGGCCCGUCUUG